AAAGGCCCUCCGACACGAGCUGCGGAUCUGACGGCGUCCAGUGGAUACGAGCUGCAAAACGGGCGUAAAUCAGCUGGUGGCAGGAAAAAGAAGAAAGUUCUUGACGUUUCUCAUUACGAAGAAAUGAAGUGCAGAACUACUGGGAAGUCAUUACAGGUCCCUCCCAUGACCACAUCCAUCGUUCUAAUAAUCAGAUCCACUUCAAAGUUCUGACCGCAGAAUAUUUCUGGGACACCACAGAAGAAGAAUGUUCUGCCAGGAAGAAGUGUCAAGAACGAGCUGCAAGAACUCCCCAACCAGAGCUGGAAGAACAGAAAGAUGUCAUUUUGUUGGUCAGCAAUUAGUAUUUUCUUUGGUCUGGACGGAUUUUAAUUGAAAUUAAAGAUAAUUUACUUUUU